GAGAAGAACGCAGCGAAAUGCGAUAAGUAAUGUGAAUUGCAGAAUUCAGUGAAUCAUCGAAUCUUUGAACGCACAUUGCGCCCCCUGGUAUUCCGGGGGGCAUGCCUGUCCGAGCGUCAUUACAACCCUCAAGCUCAGCUUGGUGUUGGGCCCCGCCGCCCCGGCGGGCCCUAAAGUCAGUGGCGGUGCCGUCCGGCUCCGAGCGUAGUAAUUCUUCUCGCUCUGGAGGUCCGGUCGUGUGCUCGCCAGCAACCCCCAAUUUUUUUCAGGUUGACCUCGGAUCAGGUAGGGAUACCCGCUGAACUUAAGCAUAUCAAUAAGCGGAGGA
rnacentral:misc_RNA from 1 species